GAAAAAACUCCCCAAAAACCCUCUUUGGGGAGAAAAUUGGGAGAAAUCCAUAAAGGACGACAACUAGCAUCCGUCCCCAGGGGCGCACUUCUGGCUUAAAUCCCUAACAUCUCCCUAACAGCAGCGUGAUCUCCGAAAGCUGCUCGUAAAAACGGAUUGACCUCCGUGACAAAUUUGUGAAAAAACGUCUCCGUUCUGUGAGAGAGGGCGAACUAUGGUGACCAAAGAGGAACCGUAUGACUGACAUCGGGGGAAACAUCGACGACUGGACAUGUUUAAGUGAACAGCGGGGAUCUUUCCAGGCGGAUCCCCAGUGAGAUCAGCGUCGGGCCAGAACCGACGUCCCAGCAGGUCGACUCUCCCGUGGACAUGUUCGCGUUCCCGUGCAGCCCCAGGACGGCCGCCAGGCCUUUGCCACGAAUAUGCGCCAGGCGCAAUGUGACCGCGUUUGAAUAUCCUCAUCAAGGACACGAACCCCCGUGUUUCAUUCAUGGAACCAUGAAUCCGCGGCUGAACUUCACACCUUUACCGAACGGUGCGGAGAACCCAACAGCUCCGCCGUGUUCUCCCG
ensembl:lncRNA